GACGAACGCUGGCGGCGUGCUUAACACAUGCAAGUCGAACGGAAAGGCCCUGCUUUUGUGGGGUGCUCGAGUGGCGAACGGGUGAGUAACACGUGAGUAACCUGCCCCUGACUUUGGGAUAACUUCAGGAAACUGGGGCUAAUACCGGAUAGGAGCUCCUGCUGCAUGGUGGGGGUUGGAAAGUUUCGGCGGUUGGGGAUGGACUCGCGGCUUAUCAGCUUGUUGGUGGGGUAGUGGCUUACCAAGGCUUCGACGGGUAGCCGGCCUGAGAGGGUGACCGGCCACAUUGGGACUGAGAUACGGCCCAGACUCCUACGGGAGGCAGCAGUGGGGAAUAUUGCACAAUGGGCGGAAGCCUGAUGCAGCAACGCCGCGUGCGGGAUGACGGCCUUCGGGUUGUAAACCGCUUUCGCCUGUGACGAAGCGUGAGUGACGGUAAUGGGUAAAGAAGCACCGGCUAACUACGUG
rnacentral:rRNA from 1 species